rnacentral:rRNA from 1 species
AUUGAACGCUGGCGGCAGGCUUAACACAUGCAAGUCGAGCGGAGAUGAGGUGCUUGCACCUUAUCUUAGCGGCGGACGGGUGAGUAAUGCUUAGGAAUCUGCCUAUUAGUGGGGGACAACAUUCCGAAAGGAAUGCUAAUACCGCAUACGCCCUACGGGGGAAAGCAGGGGAUCUUCGGACCUUGCGCUAAUAGAUGAGCCUAAGUCGGAUUAGCUAGUUGGUGGGGUAAAGGCCUACCAAGGCGACGAUCUGUAGCGGGUCUGAGAGGAUGAUCCGCCACACUGGGACUGAGACACGGCCCAGACUCCUACGGGAGGCAGCAGUGGGGAAUAUUGGACAAUGGGCGGAAGCCUGAUCCAGCCAUGCCGCGUGUGUGAAGAAGGCCUUUUGGUUGUAAAGCACUUUCAGCGAGGAGGAAGGGUGGUGUGUUAAUAGCACAUCAUUUUGACGUUACUCGCAGAAGAGGCACCGGCUAACUCUGUGCCAGCCGCCGCGGUAACAC